GGAUCACUCAGUCGGUAGAGCAUGAGACUCUUAAUCUUGGGUCGUGGGUUCGAGUCCCACCUUGGGCA